AACCGGCGAACGGGUGCGUAACACGUGAGCAACCUACCUCGAUGUGGGGGAUAGCCGGCCCAACGGCCGGGUAAUACCGCAUACGAUCUGUGGGGGGAGUCCCCUGCAGAGGAAACCUCCGGGGCAUUGAGAGGGGCUCGCGGCCUAUCAGCUAGUUGGCGAGGUAACGGCUCACCAAGGCGACGACGGGUAGCUGGUCUGAGAGGAUGGCCAGCCACAUUGGGACUGAGAGACGGCCCAGACUCCUACGGGAGGCAGCAGUGGGGAAUCUUGCGCAAUGGCCGAAAGGCUGACGCAGCGACGCCGCGUGUGGGAUGAAGCAUUUCGGUGUGUAAACCACUGUUGCCCGGGACGAACAGCUUCUUUCGAGGAGCCUGACGGUACCGGGUGAGGAAGCACCGGCUAACUCCGUGCCAGCAGCCGCGGUAAUACGGAGGGUGCGAGCGUUGUCCGGAAUCACUGGGCGUAAAGGGCGCGUAGGCGGCGCGGGUAGUCAACGGUGAAAGCUUGGAGCUCAACUCCGAGUCGGCCGUCGAUACUCCCGUGCUUGAGCACUGUAGAGGCAGGUGGAAUUCCGGGUGUAGCGGUGGAAUGCGUAGAGAUCCGGAAGAACACCGGUGGCGAAGGCGGCCUGCUGGGCAGUAGC
rnacentral:rRNA from 1 species